rnacentral:lncRNA from 1 species
UAGGAUCUUACGAGUAGUGUUACGAUCUUACAUUUACGAUCUUUGGCCCCCCUCCCGAUCCUAAGUAGAAUCUCGAUUUUGACUACCUUGCUUGUAUCCACUAUCACCACUUGGCUAAAAGAACUGUUCUUUUGGAAACUAGAUGGUCGAGAGUAAAAUUUGUUGCCCUUCUUACUCACAAUUAAAUUUUUCUGCUCGAUCAUGAUCGCCUUCUAAAUGACGACAGUAAGAGUGUGAAGCUCAAACAACCUUAUCUCAGCUUGAAUUUCCUCCUUUAACCCAUUCAAUAAGAUGCCUUUGGCAAAUUCUUGAUCAAUUUCCUGAAGAGCCCCUACAUACUUUUCAAACUCUUCGACAGUCUUGGUCUGCUUUACCGACAACAACAACUCAAACGAAUUCUGAAUCAUAGAAAGCUGAAAUCUUCAAAUUACCGCCACCUUGAACCCCUCCCAAUAUGGGUUGGGAUUUCAUUUCUCCCACCACUGAAACCAACUCAUAGCUUUCCCUUUCAAGGCUAAAAUAGUGGCUUGCAUUUUUUCACUUUUCGACACGUGUUUUAGGUUAAAAUACCUUCCAACCUUCGAGUCCAGCCAAACGCAUCAUCCCCCACAACAAUUGGAAUUUCCAGUCGGCGCCACUAGUCGGUGGUUCUCCGCCCUUCCUCUGCUCGAUCGCCGUCGACUUCGCUGCCUUCAUCACCGAACGCAUCGUCGGUCUACACCCCCAGCUUCGUCGCGAUCGCAACAAGAAGAUCCUCGAUCUUCUUGGUCCUAGCCUAAUUCAAAUCAAUUCUGGCUCGCAUCUCUUCCUUCUCUUGCUCCCGAUCAUCGUUGCUUCGUGCCAUGCUCCUUGUCUGCAUCCGCAUCAGUUUCAGCGUGGUUUACAAGGCACCAGAAUCGGUGCUCUAAUACCAUUGUUAAAACUGGUAUCAAAUCAAAAAAAUAGAUACAGAAACAAAAGAAGAAUUGAUACAAGAUCAAUGUGAUCUUGACCUAUAAGUAUGUAUUAUUGCAAUGUGAAUGUGUAUACAAGAGAGAGAAUCAUUUGAGAGAAGAUAACUGUCCCAAACUGAUUUCCUUAAUCAGCCCCAACUUCCAAUUUCUUCAAAAGUGUGUAAUUACCUAACCUAACUACUAUUUAUAGUUAUAGUUAGUUAGAUCUUUUAUUCCUUCUAACAUACACUUGCCUAAUAUAAGUGGGGAAGUAAUUGAUCAAUAUGUUGGUAUGCACUGUGUUGCCAACUUUGAGAAGCAAUUGAUCAAUAUGCCAGUUGUGGACUCGCCGGCUGUCAAUCUGAAUGGUGGAAACCGUUCAAGGACUUUUCUUAAAAGGAUUAGCCCUACAUGCUAGCCAUCUUGACUUAAAUGAAUAAACAUCACUUUUAUCAUUCUUGUGCAAAUUAUUUAUUAUUAGAUAUUUAAAUCAAAUUUUAUUUUCUCGACGAAUUAGAAGGA